rnacentral:tRNA from 3 species
GUGGGAUUAGCUUAGUUGGUUAAAGCGCCAGAUUGUGACUCUGGAGACCGUGGGUUCGAGUCCCAUAUCUCACCCCA